GGAUUAAGAUUUCUAUGUUCCUAAGGCUGAGCCACUUUGGACUGCACGUUUCAGGUUUAGGGGAAAGCCAAGUCAGAAUUCAAACGUCUUCUUCAGGCUUCUCCUGUAUUUGGCAGGUGACUGAAGAGAUAUGGCCUGAUGCCAGGAAAUCCUCGCUCUCAGAUGUUAGCGCUUUCCUCUGCACCCCCUCACCCCACCUUUACACAUCUUCUUCUUUUUCUCUAUUUCAGGUCUCAGGCUGGGCAGGGGUGGGAUGGCUAACCCUUCUGUUUAUGUUCUUAACACUCUCCUCCAUAAUUUGAGACUUUGUCCCAUUUUUACCUUCAUUUGUCCUCUCUGCACUGGUCUUCCCUUUGGACUAUAGGUCCCUAAAGUCUGCCCCCGCCUAAACCACCACCACAAACAGAAAUUCCAUCACCCUGCUUUUCCCCUUCACGCUGCAUCUCUCUCUUCCCAGUGAUCUACCCCAGCCUGCCAUCGGAUUUACCUUCCUCAUAUCCCACUCCAUCAUUCAACUCCACUGCUCCAAAGGGCUUCCCCGUUACAUGAGGUCCACACUCCGAAGCCUGGCUCAGGCCCUCUGAGACCUUCUCAGAAAGACCUACAGACUGAAAUGGGAAGCCAGUGAGGAGAAUGCUGGACAGAUAUUUCCAGGCUCCAAAGCUGAAGGAAAAGUGAAAGCUGAGCAGAGGUCUGUUCAGGUCUGCAUGUCCACAGAAAGUGGCUUCCAAGGCUUCAUCUUCACUACUGACAACACCUGCGCUCCAGGCCUCAGCUGCCUGCUCAGCAUCCCCACAGAGUUCCUCCUGCCCCCGCAAAUGCAGCGUGCCUCAGAUUAAACUCAUCACAGACUCCUUCUGUAACAUUUAUCUCUUUAAUGCUGCAACUCUCAUUCCAGAGUUUCAGGCUAGAACCCUCAAUUGCUUUUCCUCUUUUCUUUUUCUUUUUGCACGUAA